rnacentral:rRNA from 1 species
AACGAACGCUGGCGGCAGGCUUAACACAUGCAAGUCGAGCACCCCGCAAGGGGAGCGGCAGACGGGUGAGUAACGCGUGGGAAUCUACCCAUCUCUACGGAAUAACGCAUGGAAACGUGUGCUAAUACCGUAUACGUCCUUCGGGAGAAAGAUUUAUCGGAGAUGGAUGAGCCCGCGUUGGAUUAGCUAGUUGGUGGGGUAAGGCCUACCAAGGCGACGAUCCAUAGCUGGUCUGAGAGGAUGAUCAGCCACACUGGGACUGAGACACGGCCCAGACUCCUACGGGAGGCAGCAGUGGGGAAUAUUGGACAAUGGGCGCAAGCCUGAUCCAGCCAUGCCGCGUGAGUGAUGAAGGCCCUAGGGUUGUAAAGCUCUUUCACCGGUGAAGAUAAUGACGGUAACCGGAGAAGAAGCCCCGGCUAACUUCGUGCCAGCCGCCGCAGUAACAC